rnacentral:rRNA from 1 species
GACGUAGGGCGCAAGCGUUGUCCGGAAUUAUUGGGCGUAAAGCGCGUGUAGGCGGCUUUGCAAGUCGGAUGUGAAAGCCCACGGCUCAACCGUGGAAGUGCAUCCGAAACUGCAUGGCUGGAGUCUCGGAGAGGAAGGUGGAAUGCUUGGUGUAGAGGUGAAAUUCGUAGAUAUUGGAAAGAACACCGGUGGCGAAGGCGGCGACCUGGUUCAUUACUGACGCUGAGGCGCGAAAGCGUGGGGAGCAAACAGG